rnacentral:sRNA from 1 species
CUGGCAGCCACUGAGAAAUCCAGUGACUUCUCCCUCCUUUCCCUUCUAGAUCCAGGAAAAUCCUGGCUGGUACCCACCUGGACUGUGACCUCGUGGGAAAGGCAGCAAAUCCACCCUACAGUCCAUGUUUCAUGUGAUUAUCUUGGGAUCUCAUCUGGAACCUAGAACCCACAGUUCCGAAACAAACUGAAGCUGAUCCAGAUUGACUGCGGCAGCAGUAGGGCAGAUUCAGUAAUUUCUCUGUGCGGGUCCUGUUGUUCUGGUUUUAGUUUUUCUGUGGACGUCGAAGCAUUUUCACGGUGAACGCUGACCACCAGAAGACGGUGGAAACAAAGCACGCUGAUGGAUUUCAGGGAAAGAAGCCACUGCUAACAAUUAGCUCUGUCACAGGCUUAGAUUCAUCUUGUCUCCCAGACAAGUACAAGCAGUGUCUUUGGUAACUGGUUUUCGGAAACACAUUGACAGGAGUGAGAAGUCAGAGAAGGCAAGCUGACAGAGGGGGCCCAACAUACCCAUUACUGGAGGGGAGGGAGGGCAGCUGGCAUUAGGGUUGCUAGAGGAUUCCAGGAGACAGCAGAGUAUACACUGGCAGUAUAUGGAACGUAUUUCAGAGUUAUUAUAGACAAAGGGGUAUCUGUCCAUUAACCGUCCAUCUGUCAUUGGUUGAGGGUGGCUUCCUGGGAGAUUAUGUCUCAGGCAUGUCUGGUCCUCCUUAUAUGAGAAUUCAGCAUAUUCUUGUGGCUAUAGAGGGUUUUAUAAAUGUUUUCCAUAAGCAGCCUUGAGGAGGGAGAUGUGGGUAGGAUACUAAUAGCAUCUGCCACAAUUCUUCAAAUUUCCCCAUGUUUGAAUGUUUCAGGCACCAGAUUAAAUGUAUAUUAUUUCAUUUAUUAAUUGAUUAAUAAUCUCCAUUUUCCCAGGCCCUGAAGGUAGGGGGAAGGGAUGUGAAAUAAAGAGUGAUUUGCCUAUGAUCUCACAGUCAGCUAAUGGUAGAGUCAGGAUUUGAACCUAAAAAAUUUCAGGGGCAAAGUACUGGCUCCUCAAAGAGUUUAUAAUCAGUUGAGGGAACAAAAAUAGACUCUAAGUUGUAGGUAUCAAGCCUACCCGUUCCAUGAAGUAUGGGCCAGAGUUCAGCUUAGGAUUCAGCAAUGGUAUUGAGGUGCAGAAAUUCAGUGUAGGUCAAGGAGGAUCAAAGGAGAUGACUCAGUGGGAAAAACGUUUGCUGCACCAAGAGGAUCUGAAUUCAGAUCCCCAACAUCCACCUUGAAGCUAGGGAUUCAUACAUGUAAUGCUGGUGCUGGUGGAGAGGAGGCAGGCAGAUUCUAUGGGCUAGGCAGCCAGGCUAGCUGAAAUUGUAUCUUCCCGUUUCAGUGGGAGAGCCUGUCUCCAAACAUACAGUGGCAAACAAAAGGGAAAGAUCUCCGAUGCUGACCUCUAGUCUCCACACAUUCGUGCGUGGGCAAGCAACCCUCCUCUUGCACGCACCCACGUGAAAUCAGAACUUAUUUUCCUCCUUGAACGUGAUAGCCAGUUGUGUUUGGUCUCACUACUAGUGUAUCCUAGUAAGAAGCUCAAAGAAGAUGUAGCCCAAACCAAGCCUCUAACAUCCUCCCACAAAUGUAAUUUUUCUGUCAGCUCAUUAAUGAUUCCAUCAUUCCACCAUCCAGCAAGAUCCAACACCCAGGAUGACCUUUGGUCUCCUCUUCGACUGCACACUCCAGCUAUCCUGUACCAAAAUCUUGCUGAUCCUAAGCCACAGUAAUGCCUCUUAAUGUUGAUGGGACCUUCUUCCUUUAUGUGGGAAAAAGGGCGCAGUAUGAUAAGAACAUAGGAGAGGGUCAAAAGGCAAAAGCACAACCCAUGUCCUUUACAUGAAUGUCCAUGCUCUUUUCAGGUGACCAGUUAUUUCUGUU